UACGAAGGGGGCUAGCGUUGCUCGGAAUCACUGGGCGUAAAGGGUGCGUAGGCGGGUCUUUAAGUCAGGGGGGAAAUCCUGGAGCUCAACUCCAGAACUGCCUUUGAUACUGAGGAUCUUGAGUUCGGGAGAGGUGAGUGGAACUGCGAGUGUAGAGGUGAAAUUCGUAGAUAUUCGCAAGAACACCGGUGGCGAAGGCGGUCUGCUGGGCAGUUGCUGACACUGAGGCGCGACAGCGUGGGGAGCAAACAGG
rnacentral:rRNA from 1 species